rnacentral:lncRNA from 1 species
GGGGACUAGCUAACAGUCGUGGGUCGUGGGUAGAAUGUCGUGGGUCGUGGGUAGAAUGUCGUGGGUCGUGGGUAAAAAGUCGUGGGUCGUGGGUAAAAAGGCGUGGGUCGUGGGUAAAAAGGCGUGGGUCGUGGGUAAAAAGGCGUGGGUCGUAGGUAAAAAGGCGUGGGUCGUAGGUAAAAAGGCGUGGGUCGUGGGUAAAAAGGCGUGGGUCGUGGGUAAAAAGGCAUGGGUCGUGGGUAAAAAGGCGUGGGACGUGGGUAAAAAGGCGUGGGUCGUGGGUAAAAAAUCGUGGGUCCCGAAUAAAAAGUCGUGGGUUCCAAGCAAAAUAUUUCCAUAUAUUUACCUUUCUCCCUUUGGAAUGCGGGGUUUUUUUUCUUCUGAGGCUUUCCCAAACUAUGCCCAAAUAUGCAUAGCUUAGAGCGCGUUAAGGCCGGGUUUUUGAUAUCGGCAGAUCGGUUUAUAAAUAUUAUAACCAAGUGUGGAUGAAACAGUUCAACUUCAAGCCCCAUAUAGCUCAAAUAUUUGGACGUUGUAAUCUUAUAGACAGAUAAAUAUUGUAAUUCUUCAAUACGAAAUAGUGCUGUCAAGCCUGUCAUAAAUAGCUAAAUUCUGACAUUCAGGGCUUCACUAAUUUGUUGAUCCAUGUUCUUACAGUAAUAAGCGAGAAAUUUCCACUUGGACAGUGUUAAUUUAAUGCAAUGUCUGUUAAUUUACUAGGGAAAAAUAAAAGAAAGCAUUUGAGAGAUUUCACUUAAAUACAUACCAUGAUGUA